rnacentral:lncRNA from 1 species
GAGACGCGGAUGUGCGAGGAUAGUGAGGUUAAUUUGGUCAAUGCCACGAAGACCAUCCGAGAGCGCGAAGCUGAGCUGGAAACUUCCAAACUCUCUCUGAAGGAGAUAUCUAAAGCGGCCCAGCCAAUAGCGGAUAUGGUGGAGCUCCAGUUGAGGGUGUAGAGCCCCAUCCGCUAUCUGAAGUACUCAAGGACGUCUGAAGUACUCAAGGACGUGCUAGAAAAAUUCACCAGCUUUAUUCAGAAGAUGGCAAAGUCUGUC